GAUCAUGGCUCAGGAUGAACGCUAGCUACAGGUCUUAACACAUGCAAGUCGGAGGGGCAGCAUGGUCUUAGCUUGCUAAGGCCGAUGGCGACCGGCGCACGGGUGAGUAACACGUAUCCAACCUGCCGUCUACUCUUGGACAGCCUUCUGAAAGGAAGAUUAAUACAAGAUGGCAUCAUGAGUCCGCAUGUUCACAUGAUUAAAGGUAUUUCGGUAGACGAUGGGG
rnacentral:rRNA from 1 species